rnacentral:misc_RNA from 1 species
CCUACUGCGACAACAUCUAUCCACAGGUCAUCUCACAUGGUGACAACUCUUGUGCCUUAAGACUUGUCUACAGUAUUAGAAAAACCAAGCAAAAAUUCAAAUGAACUUGCUAGACGUCAUAAAGCAAUGACCACCUAAUAUUAUCUACAGUAGGGUUCUUCAGAAAAGACCAAACCCAGCCCAUUCAGCAUCACUCACCACUCGGGGAGAUGACCGGUACGAUGAGAAAGACGACGCCGAUGAGUCAUGGAAAGGCGAAAGUGACUUCCGGCUUGACAGUGACCACCUAGCAAGUGUCUCAAGGUCAGAAGUAUAGUCGGAUUCGGAUUCAGGUACCUGGGUGGUUCUUCUCUUGCUGUCUUUCCUCCUUAGUAAAGGGGAUGGAAAGCAUCCGGGCGAGACACAUUCGGGGCUGACACGGGUGGGUUGGUCGAACCGCCAACGCUCAGAGCGGGUACGUGGAG